UUGUUGCUUUGGUCGUGAUUGGUUAAUCUAAACGUCAUCCAGGAAUCUGGCCAAUGACAACUGGGCACGCCUCCUACCGCUCAAAUUUGAAUUUACACACCAGUCCGUUGCUGCUCUGUUUAUCUGCAGUCCUGCUCCGUUCAGUGCAGUAGUAAUGGCUUUUACAUGGAUUAUCACAUAUCUGACAGAUUAAUUCUUAUUUUGACCAAUUUUUGAGUUAUGCGGUGCAGAUUGAGAACGAAAAAGCGCGAAUAUGAACACAGACACAAUGGCUAAUGGACACAUAUUGCAAACGGCAGAAGAGAGGACAUGACACCACCAUUCUUGGACUCUGAAGAAUACUAUGCAAACCAUGCUUUUGGAUCUACUAGUUUUUGUAAUAAAGCUGAGGUUUUGGGAUUGAAAAUCUUGUGCC